rnacentral:tRNA from 1 species
GCCUGGCUGGCUCAGCAGAUAGAGCAUGUGACUCUUGAUCUCAGGGUUGUAAGUUCAAGUCCCCAUGCUGGGCA